rnacentral:lncRNA from 1 species
ACCAGGUUAGGCUCUUGGUAUGAUUUGUCACCAGCUUCAGAGAAUCUGGCUGACAUUUUUUGACAUUUGUAAGGCCAGUCUCGUGUGUAGAGCUGCUGAGACCUGCCAGGCAGGUGCAAGAGAUACCUGCCAUCCUGCGGCUAUAUUCCUAGAGAACCUCAGUUCCUAGCCAAUCAUGGGGUCCAUGUUCUGUCCUUCACAGUCUCGAAUGUGACAUUGACUGGAGGUGGGAGUAAAUAUGCCAUCCAAGAGUCCAGAGCCACUGGAGUUUUCACCAAGAGAGAGUAAGGAGACGGACAGAAUGAAGAUCACAUCUCCUAGGGGGGAUAAAAUAAAACCAAGGAUGAAAACUUUGUAUGUAACCUCAGUCCAGUGAUAAAUCAUGAACCUCUAAACAGGAAAGUGCACAGAAGUGACUUAGGAUUUGUGGUGGACUAUGAACUCUCAAUCAGAAGGCGGCUACUCUGCUGCCCCAUGCUAUCCAGAUGCUGUCCAUGGACACCUGGUGGCUGGACUUGGGCUGGGGGAGGUGGGCUUGUGGGGCUGAACCUGACCAAGGUGCUUGUUUGGAGCUGCCUAUGUAAAGACAGGUCAUGGGGCGUGCUCACCCCCCAGGAUGGAGGGAGAGUAUAACACUUAUUAAAAACAGGAGGUCUCCCCAUGAACUGUCACAGGUGGUAUGCACUCCAGGAGAGGUUUGCUGGCCCUUUAGGGUUACUGCUCACAUGCAGACGGGCCUCUUUAUGAAACCAGCCUGUGCACACAGCCAUGGCCUC